rnacentral:rRNA from 1 species
GAUGAACGCUGGCGGCGUGCCUAAUACAUGCAAGUCGAGCGAACGGACGAGAAGCUUGCUUCUCUGAUGUUAGCGGCGGACGGGUGAGUAACACGUGGAUAACCUACCUAUAAGACUGGGAUAACUUCGGGAAACCGGAGCUAAUACCGGAUGAUAUUUUGAACCGCAUGGUUCAAAAGUGAAAGACGGUCUUGCUGUCACUUAUAGAUGGAUCCGCGCUGCAUUAGCUAGUUGGUAAGGUAACGGCUUACCAAGGCAACGAUGCAUAGCCGACCUGAGAGGGUGAUCGGCCACACUGGAACUGAGACACGGUCCAGACUCCUACGGGAGGCAGCAGUAGGGAAUCUUCCGCAAUGGGCGAAAGCCUGACGGAGCAACGCCGCGUGAGUGAUGAAGGUCUUCGGAUCGUAAAACUCUGUUAUUAGGGAUGAACAUAUGUGUAAGUAACUGUGCACAUCUUGACGGUACCUAAUCAGAAAGCCACGGCUAACUACGUG